ACGGUCGCAUCACGUUGAAACACCGGUUCCCGUACGAUCACCGAAGUUAAGCAACGUCGAGACUGGUCAGUGGGUGACCGCUUGGGAAUUUC